ensembl:snoRNA
AUCCUUUUACAGUUCAUAAGUAUGAUAACUGGUCACUCACGCACAUGUAUGAGGUGUGCCUCCCUCAGGCCUUGCUACGAUGUCAGCACAUUACCCAUCUGACA